rnacentral:rRNA from 1 species
CCUACGGGAGGCAGCAGUGAGGAAUAUUGGGCAAUGGACGAGAGUCUGAACCAGCCAAGUAGCGUGAAGGAUGAUUGCCCUAUGGGUUGUAAACUUCUUUUAUAUGGGAAUAAAACGUUCCACGUGUGGGAUUUUGUAUGUACCAUAUGAAUAAGGAUCGGCUAACUCCGUGCCAGCAGCCGCGGUAAUACGGGGGAUCCGAGCGUUAUCCGGAUUUAUUGGGUUUAAAGGGAGCGUAGGUGGAUUGUUAAGUCAGUUGUGAAAGUUUGCGGCUCAACCGGAAAAUUGCAGUUGAAACUGGCAGUCUUGAGUACAGUAGAGGUGGGCGGAAUUCGUGGUGUAGCGGUGAAAUGCUUAGAUAUCACGAAGAACUCCGAUUGCGAAGGCAGUUCACUGGACUGCAACUGACACUGAGGCUCGAAAGUGUGGGUAUCAAACAGGAUUAGAUACCCCAGUAGUC